rfam:Colletotrichum gloeosporioides Nara gc5 unplaced genomic scaffold scaffold525, whole genome shotgun sequence.
GGUUUCGUGGUGUAGUUGGUUAUCACGUCAGUCUAACAUUCUGGAUCGUCACCUCGACGGCUCCCAGUGUUCCACUGAAGGUCUCCGGUUCAAGUCCGGGCGAAAUCA